UACGAAGGGGGCUAGCGUUGUUCGGAAUUACUGGGCGUAAAGCGCGCGUAGGCGGAUAUUUAAGUCAGGGGUGAAAUCCCGGGGCUCAACCCCGGAAUGGCCUUCAAAACUCCCAGCCUAGAGUUCGAGAGAGGUGAGUGGAAUUCCGAGUGUAGAGGUGAAAUUCGUAGAUAUUCGGAGGAACACCAGUGGCGAAGGCGGCUCACUGGCUCGACACUGACGCUGAGGUGCGAAAGCGUGGGGAGCAAACAGG
rnacentral:rRNA from 1 species